CGUGCAGGCGGGUGGAUAAGUCUGAUGUGAAAGCCCUGGGCUUAAUCCGGGAAGUGCAUUGGAAACUGUUCAUCUUGAGUACUGGAGAGGAAGGGAGAAUUCCCGGUGUAGAGGUGAAAUUCGUAGAGAUCGGGAGGAACACCAGUGGUGAAGGCGCCCUUCUGGACGGUUACUGACGCUGAGACGCGAAAGCGUGGGGAGCAAACA
rnacentral:rRNA from 1 species